UGAUAGGUGAGUUUGGUGAUGGCUCUGAUUGAACGCUGUCCAAAUGCUUGACACAUGCUAAUCGUACGUUUAAUUUAUGCUCUUCGGAUCUCAGUAUCAGGGCGCCAUGAGUGUUGUAGUGGUGUAAUAUCUUAUAUAAGAUAUUGGAGGUUUAUUAAAAGUGGUGUACAGGUGAGUGAAAGAUAAUCGGCCGACCUUGAAGAGAGGGGAUAAAAAAUCCCUCAUAAAUAAAAAAUAGUCGGCUAGCUAUUUGUUUGAGCGCACCUCGUAAGAUACUUCAUAUCCCCCAGAUCCCCCUCCGGGGGAUGAGGGGGAUGAGAGGUGCACUCAAACAGGAUAAAGGGUGUAAUAGCCGCUUUAAGAGGAAAAGAUAUCUGCGGGAUAGGUAGUAGUUAAGGUAAUGGCUCAACUAGCCAAUAAUUCUCGGAGUCGAAGCUGAAAUGGUUGAUCGACCACAUUGGGGAUGAAAAAAUCCCAAGGCGUAUUAGUACAGCAGUGAGGAAUUUUGGUCAAUGGCCUAACGGCUGAACUGGCAACUUGGACGAACGGACUAUAAUUCAUAUGAACUAAUAUUCCCGAGUUUGCAUAAUUUUGUAGAUAGUACGGAAUAGUAGAGGAUCCUUUUUAGGAAUAAAGUUCUUAGUAUAUAUUGGAUAAUGACAGAUAUAUAUCUUAUGCCCUGACCAAUUACGUGCCAGCAGUCGCGGUAAUACGUAUGGGACUAGUGUUAUUCAUCUUAAUUAGGUUUAAAGGGUACCUAGACGGCUAAUGUCCACCUCUAAAAGGUAACUAGUUAGCUAGAGUUUUAUAUGAAGGGGCCGAACUUGUGGAGGAGAGUUUAAAUUCUUUGAUACCUAGAGGACGGAUAAAGGCGAAGGCAGCCUCUUAUGUAAAAACUGACGUUGAAGGACGAAGGCAUUGCGGCACGAAAAGGAUUAGGGACCCUAGUAGUCUUUGCAGAAAAUGAUGAAUGCCAUAGGUUAGGUUAAUCCUUAGUCUAUAAACGAAAGUGUAAGCAUUUCACCUCAAGAGUAAUGUGGCAACGCAGGAACUGAAAUCACUAGACCGUUUCUGACACCAGUAGUGAAGUAUGUUGUUUAAUUCGAUGAUCCACGAAAAAUCUUACCACAAUUUGAAUAGAAUAAAGUAAUCAAAAUAUAAGGGUGAACAAAUAUCUCUUCUUUUUUAGUAAAGGUAAUACCUACUAUAAAGUUAAUAUUUAUUCUCAAUUAGUUUUAGGAAGUUUAUUCAUACAAGUGUUGCACGGCUGUUUCCAGUUAAUGUUGUGAAACUGUGGCAAAAGCCAUGGAAUUAACGUAAACCUGAGCUUUAUUUGUAAAAAUAUUUUGAUAGAGCUACAUCAUCUGCUAUAUUGGAUUUGAUAACAGGGACUAAGACAAGUCAUCAUGGCCUUAAUAUUGUGGGCUAUAGACGUGCCACAUAUACCAUAACAAAGAGAUGCGAAAAUUCGAGUUUUAGCUAACCUCACUACCCUACAAAAAAUGGAUAAAAAAUAUAUGGAUUGUAGCCUGAAACUCGGCUGCUUGAAUAAGAAAUUGCUAGUAAUCGUGAAUCACCAUGUCACGGUGAAUAUAACCUUGGAUUGGUACUAACCACUCGUCACAUGCUGAAAGUUGUAUGCGCAAUAAGUUUGCUUUCUUAUUUUAAGUCCAUGUAAGAACGGAUUACAUUCUUUUAAUAGGGUUCUUCGUAUGCGUGACGGCAAUUGGUGUUAAGUCGAAAUACGGUUCGUGUAGUGGAAGUUGCACGGGGCUAAUUAACUUUA
rnacentral:rRNA from 1 species